AUAAGUCUUAACAUUACCACAUGCCCAGUACUAUACUUGGUGUUAACAGGAAAGGCAGGGAUGAAGAUGACAAAAUACGUGACUUCAGGAACACGAUUUUGUCCUGAGAAAAAAUUCUAAGUGCAUAUUCCGAUUUUCCAUUUACCUGGCUUUAACUGCUACAUCCAAGUUCUUCUGGCUAAACUGCAGUACAUCCAUGAUGGGAACAAAGGACAGAGGCAGGUCUAUUUGCAGGUCUUUCAAAUAAAAGUACAAAUUCAGAGCGUGCACAAGGAACACGACUAUGGGUCCUCAGGCCCAAGCUACAGGGGACAGUUUCCAGGAUGCGGGCAGCCUCCAACCUCAAGCUUUCUGCACUUCUCUUCAGGAAAGUGAAACUCUCCUCUGGGUCCAUGUCUGGUUCUGCCCAUGCUGAGGAAGCCGGGGAGGGGGGUGUGGAGCUCACUGCCCAGACUGCUUAUGUGAGCUGAUGCACCCCAACAAUCCACUGUUCCUCCCUCACCUGCUGCUUUGGAGACCGCUUUGACAGCGUGUCUUUUUAUCCUCAAGUGAUUCCAAAUCGACAUCCAAAAUUGAGGAGUACUGAUAAAAGAUAGACUGCCCCCCUCACACCCCUGUAGAGAGCCAGGUGAACCUAAGAAGGGGUCCAAUGUGAAAAAAAGUUGCACAAUUGUUUAGUUUCUCUCUAUAUAAGUUUUCUCUAUAUAAGUUUCGCUCUAUAGCUUUACUUGGUUUGAGCAUUUUGAGUUACCAGAAAAUCAGGCAACUCUUUGUACAUUAAGUUAGAGAAUGCACUCCAGAGCCAAAUGAGCAUUUAUUUAUUUUAUUUUAUUGGUAACGCUUUUGCUUUUAUUUCCCUCUUAUGCAAGUAAUUAAGAUUUGACUGUCUUAGCUAAAGUGUAAUUCAUUUAAUCUCUUUAUUUCAGACAUCUUGAUUUUGUGCCAAUUAAUUAAAGGUAAUUUGCUAGCAGAGCAGGUAAUGCAAACUGCAGAUAAUUAUGAACUCAAGUUAAAUAAAAUUCUUCAUCUUCCCUAGACCCCUUUCAAAUGGCCUGCUGUCCGCUGUCCUGUGCUGUGAUUCUCAAGCGUGAGGGAGCAUCAGUCUCCCCUGAGGAGCUUAUUAAAAAUCAUAGAUCGCUGGGUCUGAUCUCCAGAGUUUCUGAUUGAGUAGGCCUGGGUUGGGAUCUGAGCAUUUGCAUCUCUAAUUAAAGUUCUUAGGUGAUGCCGAUGCUAUUGGCAUAAGGAUAAAACAAAUCAGAAGAAAAAUAUUUAAUUCUCCCUGGUGCAAAGAAAAAAGAAAGCAUUUACUUGAGAAGACCUAUCAUUGUAUGCUCUUCCUCUGCCUCCUGAAAUGUGCAGGAAUCUUUUUAAAGGCUAAGUGGGCCCUUUGUUCUCUCAACAAUCCAGGAAUUUCUCUUUGAAAUGGGACUUGGAGCCAUCACUUUGAAAUGUAAUCAUCAG